AUGGGGGGCUGCGUCUUGAGGGUCUUAAAUCGUUCAGUUAUGAGACUAAAAUUCAGAAUGCUCACAAUCAAGCAAGUUGUAGCGCAGAUCAGGUCCGAGGACUGGUUUGUCACAAUAGAUCUCAAAGACGCAUAUUUUCACAUAUCCAUCCUUCCACAUCACAGGAAGUUUCUGAGGUUCGCUUUCGGGGGCGAAGCUUACCAAUAUCGAGUACUUCCCUUCGGCCUUGCACUCUCACCCCGCACGUUCACAAAAUGUGUAGACGCGGCUCUGGUCCCCCUGCGCAUGCAGGGCAUCCGCAUUCUCAAUUAUAUCGACGAUUGGUUGAUCUUAGCUCAGUCAGAGCAGGCUGCGGUUCGGCAUCGAGAUGUCGUCCUCGCACAUAUGGGGGAGCUGGGUUUGAGACUGAACGCCAAGAAGAGUGUGCUUUCUCCGGUUCAGAGAACCACCUAUCUAGGCGUAGUAUGGGAUUCGACCACGAUGCAGGCACGAUUGUACCCUGCUCGUAUCGAGUCGAUCCGCAUCUCAGUCGAGAGAGUCAAAGAAGGCCAGUCACUCACUGUCAAACAAUUUCAGAGAUUGUUAGGUCUGAAGGCAGCUGCGUCCAACGUGAUACCUCUUGGCCUUAGAUGUGUGGAAGAAACCUUGGUUCUUGAAACAGGGCCCGGUGCUGGGAGCUCUUUGUCGCCGUGUAACGCUAGCGACAGAUGCAUCCCUCACUGGUUGGGGUGCAGUCAUGAGUGGCCACCCUGCCCGUGGUCUGUGGAGCGAUCGCCAUCGAACAUGGCAUAUCAAUUGUCUAGAAAUGCUAGCAGUUUUUCGUGCACUGAAGCACUUCCUCCCAGACCUAAGGGGUCACCAUGUGUUGGUGCGCACCGACAACACAUCGGUGGUCUCCUAUAUCAACCACCAGGGAGGUCUGCGUUCGCGCCCUUUGUACAAGCUGGCGCACCAGAUCCUGGUGUGGUCCCAGAGCAAACUCCUCUCAUUAAGAGCAGUAUAUAUUCCUGGGAAACAAAAUGUGGGAGCAGACAUACUGUCGAGGCAGGGGCCGAGGCCCGGGUAAUGGAAACUUCACCCACAAGUAGUGAAGCAGAUAUGGAGAAUAUUUGGCAGGGCUCAAGUAGACCUAUUUGUAUCUCAAGAGACGUCUCAAUGCCCCCUUUGGUUCUCUCUAGUUCAUCCAGCUCCUCUGGGACUGGACGCUAUGGUACAGACCUGGCCGAGGCUUUGUCUGUACGCAUUUCCCCCUAUUGCUCUGCUCCCGGGAGUUCUGGCGAGAGUGCGCCGGGACGGGGUCCGUCUGUUGUUGGUAGCCCCGUUCUGGCCUGGCCGAGUAAGAUCUCAGAUCUAGUCUCGCUCCUCGACGGCUCUCCGUGGGAGAUACCGAUCAGGACAGACCUUCUCUCGCAGGCGCAAGGUACGAUAAUUCACCCUCGCCCGGAGUUGUGGAAGCUGUGGGUCAGGGGGCACAACUUUUAG
rnacentral:lncRNA from 1 species